GCUUCGGUGUGUCACAUGAUGCUUCUGUGGUCUCCAGGUUACACACGAACACCUUAACUGCGGUUAAAGUGUGGAAAGUUUAAAAAAAAAAAGAUGAAGAGUGAAGAGAGGAAGAAGCUCCUGAUGAAAAGCGACAUCAGAGUGCAGGUGGAGAGAGGCGGAGUCACACAGACCAUCAGAGGAGUCCUGAGCAGACCAGCGGGACGCUCUCGCCUCAGCAGCAGGAGGAAGCUCAGCGCUCACCUGGUGGAGGUGGGGCAGAGGAUGGUGGCAUUUGUGUCCGGGCUGCUGAUUGCGUCUCUGUACGGACUCAUGUUUCUCCUCCUGCAGAAACAGCCGCUGUGGUUCUGCGUCUAUACCACGCUGGUCUUGGCUGGUCUGGCAGCGUUUGGUAUGGGACUGUCAGUCAGAGUCAGGGCCAGCAUCAUGGUGAUGCUGCCCUCCCUGUGCUCAGGUCACGGGAGGAACUUCAUCCUCCUCACGUUUGUGUCGCUGCUGCUGUCCGGUCCGCUCAGCAACACGUUGGAGAACACCGAGCGAGCCGCCUCCAGCCUGAUGUGUGGUGCUGAGCUGGCAGCCAAUCAAACACAGGAACUGCUGCAGAAAGCAGCCACGCCCCUCUUCUCUGCAUUGGACCAAAUCAGAGAGAUCAGUAGGAACGCUUACGCUGUCGCAGGAAGGGUCCAGAAAUUCAUCGACACCAUGGCAGACAACACCCGCCAUGUUGCUCGCACGCUGAGGAACGUCCUCCACUUCCUGGCUGAUAUCGGAGACGUCUGUAAUGAAAAGCUGGGCACUCCGUUCAGGAAGUGCCAGGUGCUGUUCAAGGAAGCUCAAAGCGACUGCUCCAACCUGCUGGGGGACUUCAACUUCCUGUGUGACAUCGUGGAUGGCUUCCUGCCCCUCUGCAACCUGGCACGCGCUGGCGAGUUCUUUUGUAUCAUCCCUUCUUACGUCGCCGACCACCUGAGGAAACGUCUCGCAGCUCCUGUCAUCGCAGCCUUUGAGAAGAUGAAGCGCGAGUUUGAGUUUAACAUCUCCGCCUCAGGUAACUUUGACCUGGAUGUCAACAGCAGCCGCUCUCUGCACCAGGUUUCUCAGGACAUCAUGGCAGAGAUUUCCUCAAACCUGCAAGUUUUUCAGAAACUGGCUGGACCGCUGGCGUACGUCGGCCUCAUCCUGCUCAUCUGCUCCUUCCUCAGGGCAGUGCAGUACAGACACAGGUAUCUGCAUGAUAUAAAAUUCAACAACAUUUACAUCACCGCUGAGUUUAAAGACCUUAACCAAAGGUUGACCUCAGUGGGCGGAGCCUCUGUCUUUCCGAUCACAUGCAGAGAGGCCAAGACGUACAUCACGCCACUGUCAUUUCAGCUGACAGACAGAGAGCGGCAGGCGGUGAUGGCGGGCUUGGUUUCAGUCUUCAGACACCUGAUUGUAGGCAGCCUGCUGGUGGCGCUGGACUUCCUGGUGUUCUGGAUUCUGGAUCAGGUGCACCACCUGGUGACGGAGGACAUCGUGGCCAGAGUUCCGGUCAAGGUGGCGAUCCAGGUGAACGGAUCAGGUUACGCCUCAGACAUCUACAGAGACCUGGUGGCCUCGUUCAACAUCCUCCAGCAAAGGAACAUCACCGUGAUCAGCAGGAAGUGCCUGCUAGAGCCAUCAGAACCAAACUACACCACGUGUUUCAUUCUCGGCUUCCUCUUGGGUUUGGCUCUGUUUGUGUCUCUGAUCGGAGGAUUCAUGCAGCGCUGCAGACGGCUCAUCUGUGCUUCAUAUCACCCUGAGCGAGAGCAGGAGAGGAUCCGGUUCCUCCGACAGCACAUCCUGAAUCAGAGGAGGGGGAUUGGCAGAGCCCUGAGGAGGUCUGCAACCAGGGACAGAACCAGCGGAGGAGGAGGACGAGGACGAGGAGGAGGAGGGCGGCUUCAUGCUGUGCUGAUACGUAGCCCAGGAUCAGAAUCGACAGGAUGUGAUCUGAAUGUUUUCAUGAAUCUGUGUCAGCUUACCUGGAGGAGCUCACCUGUCUGACCUGCUGGGCCUGUCAACACCUGACACCUGUCUGGUCUGUGGAGAGGUGCUGAAGCUGCAUGAUGUGAACACGAUCAUCUGUGAUGCCCCACACUGUUCAGGCGCGUACUGUCGGCCGUGCUUCCAGAGUUUGGGAAAUGCAUGUGUCAUCUGCUUGCGACCUCUGACCUUCCAGGAAGACAGUGAGGAGGAGCUGUGAGACACACAUUCAUCCACAUCCACCCACCCACGUUAGUCUGAUUGGCUAAUGACUAAGCAAGUGGUUCCACAGUCAGACCCACCCCCCACUCAUCACAUCUGUUUUGUUGAAUCAAAGAUGGCGACAGUGGAAAUGUUCAUCUCGAGGCUUCAAAACCAGACUUUAGGAUACUGGUAUAGCUCACUGGACUGAGCAGAAAACCCAUAUACCAUAAGGCUAUUGCAGAGGCCUGGGUUUGCAUGAGCCCUGAGGCAAUUUACUGUGUGUCUUCCCCCUGCUCUCUGUCUCCAUAAAGACUAAAAAGCCACCUACUCCCAAAAAACAGAACUUGGGAUGAUGUCACAGUAGCCACUUCCACGUCUUUUAUACUGGCUAUUUUGUUUUGUU